rnacentral:rRNA from 1 species
UACGUAGGGUGCAGGCGUUAAUCGGAAUUACUGGGCGUAAAGCGCACGUAGGCGGCUUUGUAAGUAAGAGGUGAAAGCCCGGAGCUCAACUCCGGAACUGCCUUUUAGACUGCAUCGCUUGAAUCCAGGAGAGGUGAGUGGAAUUCCGAGUGUAGAGGUGAAAUUCGUAGAUAUUCGGAAGAACACCAGUGGCGAAGGCGGCUCACUGGACUGGUAUUGACGCUGAGGUGCGAAAGCGUGGGGAGCAAACAGG